rnacentral:lncRNA from 1 species
UGUUUACACCUGGCGGCCAUCCUUUAAUUUAAAAGGCAGCGCGCAGUUAUAAAGAAGACUUGGGACGUAACCUGGCCUGAGAAGCAGGCGUGCUGCCCCUUUGGGUCUCCUGCAAGCUGAUCCAGAUGCAGGCAACACUGGGGCACCCCCUUCAGACAUGGGGAAAGAAGACUGCCAAGCAUUCGAAGGCCACGCAGCUGAGACGUGGCAGAGCUUGGGUUAAAAUCUUGUAAUGCUGACCUGCAAGGCCGGCACUGCCUCCGCCACACGCACUUCCGCCCACCGUGACGCGCUGCUUCCACCAUCAUGCACUUCUGCCAGGACGUGUGGCCUCGCAUCCGUGCUCCUUUGUGGGCAGCCUUCAUCCUUUGUAACGUAGAAUGGUUAUGAGUGGCUGGUCAGGUGGAUGGAAAUUUUCUAAAAUACAUCAGACCAUUUCUUUUGUUGCUUUCUGAGACGGAAUACAUGGAAAUUAACAAAACAUCUUAAGAACAAUUUUACUUUUUUCAAAUAUUCAAAUAGAUUUUUCUGAAUUGAACAUUGAUUUUGGCCCUGCGCUAUAAUUUAAUGAAAUCCUUAGUCAUUAACUCUGCCCCAUAAGCUAUGUAACCCCAGAAGUUUCCAUGAUUAAAAACAUUUCUGACAUCA